UUGUCUUGUAAGAGCAGAAUUAUCGUCGAAGAAACAGUGGUUUCUCGAUGAAAUCUCCACAAAAAAUUUGAGAGAUUUGAGGAGGGAAUUGAUAGCAAUAUCUCGGUUUAUAUGACAACAAGGAUGUCUAAUUUAAUCAAGAAAAUUUCGAUAGUAACAGCAAGAAAAUUGGUGUAAGUUGCGAUAGCAGAAUUCUCGUCGAAAAAUU
rnacentral:lncRNA from 1 species